ensembl:lncRNA
CAGGAUCCAAGAUUUAGAGGACGACAAAACUGUCCUUGAGAACAUCUGCCUUGACUUAAAAAAAAAGAAGAAAGGCCUUUUUGGGAGACUGAUGCAAGACCGGCAGACGGACAAAAUGAGGCGCAAGAUGCAGGACAAGGAGACAAAGAAAAAGGAGAGAGAAGAUAAUAAAAAGGAGACCAUCCAGGACGUCAACAUCAACGUGCCUGAGACUGGACACCAUUACGUGUCGUUAAGCAACCCAAGGAUGAGCCUACACGUGUGGUAUAUGUUGGUUCUGUUUCUCUGUCCAAGCACUAAAGAGGCGGUCGUCGACAAAAACAGACUAACAAGAUGGCACUCCUAUAAGAUGGAAAAGGGACAAAACAUUAUCCGAAACCUUAAAAGGCAUUCAGAAGGGACCUUCGCCAGCGACUUCACCCACUAUCUUGAUAAGAUUAAGGCAAAAGAUUUUGUGGAGUGGCUGGCCAGCACCAAACGAGAAAGGUGUCAUGAUGAACUUUUAAAACAGCCCAGGUUGCCUGUGUUGAACGCUUGAUCCUGCUUUACGCCAUGCG